UAAAGGACUGUUGCUCAGGGAGCAAUCGGGCUAUUGGGCAAGAACUCCCCACCUCUGCCUCAGGAAACUGGUUUUAACAGACUUUGUAGAAUUUUAUGCCUAUUGGUGUGGUGGGAAACAAUGAAGAUCUGGAUCUGGAGAAGAGGCUGAGGACUCCAUGUUACCAAAAAAAAAAAAAAAAAAAUUGGCAGAGCCAACAGAAGCCUAAUAGAAUCAAGGAAACAGACAGACGAGGAGAGCACUUCUGGGAUCAUGGUCAAUUCUGGGGUCAGGAUGGCUCUUCACCUGUGCUGGAGUAAAUAUACUCAACAGCAAGCAGAAGACUUGGGGCCAAGAAUUUUCCAAGUCACACACAUCCAUCAAACCAAGGUAGAAGCCUCACACAACCUUUGAUCAGAAUGGACUAUUCUGAGAAAGAGGCAACUUCUACCUUUUAAAAUAAAAUCACACUCAUCCUGAUGAACCCAGCCUAAUGCCAUCUUAAGAUUGGGAGCCAUCUCAUCACAAAGUCAUGAAAAGUUAAUUUCUGUUUCACUAUAAAUUACUGAGAUUUCUAAACUUGUUUGGAAUUCCUGCCCGUGCUCUGAACUCACCCAUGCCUAGCUCUCCUUGACCAGAUAACAACCCUCUCUAAAACCUUAGGGACACCUCAUAAAUCCUGGCUCCCCCUGACAGAUAACCACCCUCUCUGAAACCUCAGUGGCACCUCAUAAAUCCUGAUGUUGGGAUCUGAAUUUACUCCCUACCUUGAAAUAUCAUGUCAUGUAGAUUAUUAAUCUGCUAUCUGCCUUUGUAUUAUGCUUGUCAAAAUCCUGUUAUUUGUAUGUUCUCAAGACACCCCCCUUUGGAACUUUUUGUGCUAUAAAACCUUGUUCCUGGAGAGCUGGGAUGCUGAUCUCUAGCCAAAGAGUUGGGAGAGACAGCCCUGGUGACCAUCUUCCUUUGUGUACACAAUGCAAGUUUGCUUUAAUUUGAUUUAAAAUUGGAGUCAGUGGUCUUUUCUUUGUAUGGUGGUUCAACAAUUCCAGUCAAUCUGGAAAGCUAUAUGAUUCCCAAGACUGUGGCUUCCGAGGAGAAAUCAGAGAGGGGACCUUCUAGCUUUUACCUACUAAUCUCUGGCCAAAUGUGGGGCAAGAUUCCAUCACCUCCUCCACCAGGGAUAAUGGCCCCCAAGUCAUGCACACAUUCCCUAGUAAGGGGUAAAGUAUAACUAGUCCCAAAAGAUUAAACACAACCUUUGAUCAACAAGUGACUUAUAUUAGCCUAAGGACAAGCCUUAGCAGCCAACAGUCAAAACAUGGGGAAAAUUUUCUGAGCAAGAAAUCAGAGAUUGCAUACAACAAGCAAAGUAGAGUUCACAGAAUCAGUUUUGCCAAAUUACAGAAGAAGUAAGUGAUAAAAUAAAAACCCAUAAUGGAAACUUACCCUGGGGGGAAUAAGUAUCCCAAGUUAUAUUAUCUAGAAAUGUCUAAUUGUCAACAAAAAUUUAUGAGACAAGCAAGAAAUAAUAUGCCAAUGUAAAGUUAUCUAAAAAGUCCUGUUUUUAACAAAAUGCCAUGAGACAUGAAAUAAAGGAUCAUGUAAGUUUACAUAUUGUGUAAGUCCAUUCAUAUUAAUUAAUCAGACUGGGAAAAUCUAGAGGCAGAAAGUAAAUUUGUGGCUUCCAGGGCUGGGGUAGGGUCAGUGGCAAUGUCCUAGCACUACUAUAC
rnacentral:lncRNA from 1 species